UCUGGCGGCAGUAGCGCGGUGGUCCCACCUGACCCCAUGCCGAACUCAGAAGUGAAACGCCGUAGCGCCGAUGGUAGUGUGGGGUCUCCCCAUGCGAGAGAAGGGAACUGCCAGAC
rnacentral:rRNA from 1 species